AACCGCACCAUGAGCUGCCUCUGCCAGUCGCCAGGACUACAUUCUCCACAAUCCAAUGCGCCAGACCCAACCCAUUGCCUCCCAGGAGGGAAGUUUAAAGCCUAAAGCUACAGGUAAUGGUGUUACUAACACUGGCAGCUCACUUUGUAUCUGGCUGGGGUUAAAUUAUUGUCAUCACCCAUCUAAUUAUACCACUUUGCCAUGUUUAUGACUUUCUCUGUAAUUAACAAACAUUGAAAAAUAUGUUUAGAGCUAUAGGGAGGUUUCACGGCAGUCGGGUCACGACCCAUGACCCGUACUGUUGCUACGCUACGCCAACUGGAGUACACGCGAUGAACUGCAGGAGUCAGAUGACCAAUGCCACCCUGGACAAUACACCAUAACAUGUGAAAGAAAGACCUACCAGGACCUUUAACUGAAGGUCCCUCCAGCCCACACAGGGAUCCCUACAAGAGCUUUGCUAGUCAAGUGCAUCAAUGAAAAUAAAUUAGCACAGCUUCAGACAAGUCCGGGAGAGAAGUUAAAAGAAUGGACUCCAUUCUUGAUAUUAAAAAUAAAACAAUGAUUGUCAAAGAAUGCGUUCCAAAGAUGCAGAGUUAACAGAUGAACAUAAACUGGAAACAAAAAAAUGCUCAAAAUACUGAUGUUAGACUGCAUCUAUUAUCUGAGAAGUAGAAGAAAUAUAGUUAUUUGUUUCUUUUAUUAAACUGGUUUCAUCACUAAACCUAUUGCGUUACCAGAGGAAACGGGUCUCCUGCUGUUAUUCCACUUGAUGACCUAAUAAGGUUCUAGUUUAGUUUAGUUCAGAUAUACAGUGUGGAAACAAACCCUUCAGCCUAUCAGGACCGUGCCGACCAGCGAUCCACGCACGCUAACGCUAUCUUACACACACUACGAUCAAUUUACAAUUAUACCAAAGCCAACUAACGGACAAACCUGUACGUCUUUGCAGUGUGGGGGGGAAACCGGAGCACCCGGAGAAAACCCAUGCAGGUCACGGGAAGAAUGUACAGACUCCGUACAGAAAGCACCCGUAGUCGGGAUCGAACCCGGGUCUCUGGCGCUGUAAGGCAGCAACUCUACCGUUUUGUUGGAAUAAGUACAUUUUGUGGCACUUUUGUGUUUGUCCUGGCAAAAGGAUGGCACAGCGUUAGACCAGGGCAUGUAGAGACCACUGACCCUUGAAUGCCAAGCCGAACCAUUUCACCGUUUGAAGUAGUGAUGUCCAACCUUCAUUUUAAUCAAUUAACCCCUUUCUCCCUGCCAACACCAGGGUACAAGUCGAGGCAUAGAACAUUUUUCCCUUUUUACAGACUCAGAUUAUAUUAUUUAUUUUUCAUUAUAUUAUACAAAGGUAACAAUGAGGCAUUGCAUGAGAGUGACCAUUUUAUUAGCAGCAUCCGAAAAGGUCAAAAGACAUUUGUAGUCAUGAUCGUCAAUCAGUAUCAAGCAGUAAAAAGGCAGUUAAAUCAAUAUAAUUGCGGUUGCAAAGGCUGCAAUAAUAAUGCAGGACAACACAAGAAACUGUGAAACAAAGCAAAAUUCUGUUACUAUGCAUGGUGCGGGCCUGGUGUGGAUUGUUUGUUGACAUUGGCUGGUUGUACACAAGACAGGCUGGGAGAGCUGCCAGUUCAAUUACAGUAAUUGGUCAAUUUGUGUGUCAGUGGUAUUCUGAUAAAUGAUUUUCGAUGGUGCAAAUUUUUCAGCAGGCAAGUGUGCCAUUAAUAACUCCACCAGGCGGCAGUCUUUACUAUUGCUGUUUCCCUCAUUGUGCUCAACAUGCCAUUACCACUUAUUACUCAAUGCGCAGUUUAGUUUAUUGUCACGUGUACUGAGGUACAGUGAAAAGCUUUUUUGUUGCGUGCUAUCCAAUCAGUGGAACGCCAAUAUGUGAUUACAAUCAAGCCAUCCACAGCGUACUGGGAACAACUUUUAUGGCAAGAAUGUUACAAUGGCCAAUGGUUGCCCCUUAGGGUCUGAUUAAUUCUUACACGUCUCACCUUAAACGUUAGCUCCCUGGUUCUCGAUUGUCAAAUUAUAGAAAGAUGAGAGAGGGGGGUUCUAGCCCUGUUGCUGUGUUGAACAAAACCAUGAGAGUCAUUAACUUGGAGCAAAAUUAUAGUUUCACUCUGGUGUUUGGAACCCAUUUAGGGUGGCACAGUGGCGCAGCAGUGGAGUUACUGUCUAACAGUGCCAGAGACCCGGGUUCGAUCCCAACUACGGGUGCUGUCUGUUUGGAGUUUGUACAUUCUCCCCCUGACCACUUGGUUUAGAUCCUGAUUCUGAGUGGUCUAGUUUCGUUCCACAUUCCAAAGAUGUGCAGGUUUGUAGGUUAAUUGGCUUUGGUAAGCUGUAUAAAUUGUCCCUUGUGUGUAGGAUAGUGGACCAGUGGAUCAAAGGGCCUGUUUGCAUGCUGUAUCUAUAAAGUGUAAAGUCCAUGGGAGAAGUGUAGAGAUACUUCUUCUGCUUGCAAAAGGCGUGUACAGACUAAAGUUGUAGGACAAUUUGUUCUAUUUGAUCUUACUUGAUUGUGCACGCCAGGUUGAUUGCAUUCGUCGAAACAGGGCGGACCACGUGAAGGUUGCAAUCUCCCACCCCUAGAGAUACUCAUAAUGGGACAUUUUAACGUAUUGAAAAUGACUUCAUAUGAACCUUCAUUUGGUAUACAUCACACAACGGCCUGCAAGCUGGCGUUGCAAUGGAAAUACCUACUAGACUCUGUUACCAGUAAGUAAAAUCCACUAAGACAGCCAGACGGACGCCUUCUGUUACCAUCACCGCCAAAAUACACCAGUGGUGCGAGGUUACAGUGGAAUAUUAUUCAUAUUAGCUGAUGAUUAUUCUUACCACAUCCCACAUAAAUGUGGCUGUAAAGAUUUCCAUUAGUGUUUGCAAUUUUUGGAACAAAAGCUCAUUUUAAUUGUGCAUUAAGGAAAACUUGGCUAUUCAGUUGCUAAGCUGAGGGGAGAUCUGCUUUUGAAUGAGUAAUUCCUACAUAUGAAAGAUGGUGCGGCAUAAUUCUAUGGAUCAUAUCAUAACUCCUAAUAAACUCAUUUAGUUUGACAUUUUCAUAAUUAUCAGAUUUGCCAAGGUCUUUUCAUAUCAUUAUCUCACCAGUUCAUUUGAAAGGGGGGGGGAAAAAAAAAACCAGAACGGUGAAUAGCUUGGAUCAAAAUGUGAUACUUUCACCCUUGGAGAAUUUUGGCAGAAGAUUAAUGUGGCUGUUAAUUGACAGGAAGUGGAAAAGGAUCCAAAAGUGAUAUGGGCCUGACCUUCUGGGGUCACGGACUGUGAGGAAGGCUGUCAAAGUACACAGCAGGAGACGCAGUGGAUCAGCUGCGGAAAUGAACGGAGAAAUGGCAUAUGGAAUUGAAUCCAAGCAAGUGUUGCAUUACGGGAAGUCAAAUGUAAGGGAAGAAUAUAGGAAUAAUGGCAAGAACCUCAGCAGGACUGCUGGAAAGACAGAUGUUGGGACCCUAAUCUAUAACUCCCUGAAAAUGACAACACAAGGAGAUCGAGUGGUAAAGAAGCCGGCAUGUUUGUCCUCAUUGGUCAGGGCAUUAAGUGUUAGAGUCAGGAAGUCAAUAUGCAGUUUUAUAGGGACUUUAGUUACACCACGUUAGGACUAUUGCAUGCACUUCUGAUCACCCCAUUACAAGAAGGAUGUGGAGGCUUUGGAAAGGGUGUGGAGUCAGUUUACCAGAAUGGUACCUGGAUUAGAAGGUUUCAGCUACGGGGAGAGGUUUGCCAGUCUUGGAUUGUUUUCUCUGCAAUGCAGAAGGUUGAGGGGAGAUCUGAUAGAAGUAUAUACAAUUAUGAGAUGCUUGGACACAAAGUGCUGGAG